AGGACGAACGCUGGCGGCGUGCUUAACACAUGCAAGUGGAGCGACGAACCGGGGCUUGCCCCGGGGCAGAGCCGCGAACGGGUGAGUAACACGUGGGUAACCUGCCUCAAUGAUUGGGACAACCCGGGGAAACUCGGGCUAAUACCAAAUGUGUUCACUCCUUCCAAGGGGAGUGAGGAAAGGAAGCUUCGGCCUCCGCAUUGAGAUGGGCCCGCGGCCCAUUAGCUUGUUGGUGAGGUAACGGCUCACCAAGGCUUCGAUGGGUAGCUGGUCUGAGAGGACGAUCAGCCACACUGGGACUGAGACACGGCCCAGACUCCUACGGGAGGCAGCAGUGGGGAAUCUUGCACAAUGCGCGAAAGCGUGAUGCAGCAACGCCGCGUGGGGGAAGACGGCCUUCGGGUUGUAAACCCCUUUCAGUUGGGACGAAGCUUCGUCGGUGAAUAGCCGGUUGGAGUGACGGUACCUUCAGAAGAAGCCCCGGCUAACUACGUG
rnacentral:rRNA from 1 species